UACGUAGGUGGCAAGCGUUGUCCGGAUUUACUGGGCGUAAAGAGCGCGCAGGCGGUCGUUCAAGUCGCGUGUGAAAGCCCCCGGCUCAACUGGGGAGGGUCACGCGAUACUGAUCGACUCGAAGGCAGGAGAGGGUAGUGGAAUUCCCGGUGUAGUGGUGAAAUGCGUAGAUAUCGGGAGGAACACCUGUGGCGAAGGCGGCUUUCUGGGCCUUACCUGACGCUGAGACGCGAAAGCGUGGGGAGCGAACAGG
rnacentral:rRNA from 1 species